rnacentral:rRNA from 1 species
AGAGUUUGAUCAUGGCUCAGAAUCAACGCUGGCGGCGUGCCUAACACAUGCAAGUCGAGCGAGAAAGUGUAGCAAUACAUGAGUAAAGCGGCGCACGGGUGAGUAACACGUGGGUAAUCUGCCUCGAAGUGGGGAAUAACACCGGGAAACCGGUGCUAAUACCGCAUAAUCCGAUGGAGUCUGCGGACUUUGUCGGCAAAGGAGCAAUUCGCUUUGAGAGGAGCCCGCGGCUGAUUAGCUAGUUGGUGAGGUAAUGGCUCACCAAGGCAACGAUCAGUAGCCGGUCUGAGAGGACGGUCGGCCACACUGGAACUGAGACACGGUCCAGACUCCUACGGGAGGCAGCAGUGGGGAAUUUUUGGCAAUGGGGGCAACCCUGACCAAGCAACGCCGCGUGGGUGAUGAAGUAUCUUGGUACGUAAAACCCUUUCGACGGGGACGAAACCGCAAGGUUGACGGUACCCGUAGAAGAAGCCCCGGCUAACUCCGUGCCAGCAGCCGCGGUAAUACGGGGGGGGCAAGCGUUGUUCGGAAUUACUGGGCGUAAAGGGUGNGUAGGCGGCUCGCUAAGUCGGAUGUGAAAACUCUGGGCUCAACCCAGAGCCUGCAUUCGAAACUGACGAGCUGGAGUUCUGGAGGGGAAAGCGGAAUUCCUGGUGUAGCGGUGAAAUGCGUAGAUAUCAGGAGGAACACCGGUGGCGAAGGCGGCUUUCUGGACAGAAACUGACGCUGAUGCGCGAAAGCUAGGGGAGCAAACAGGAUUAGAUACCCUGGUAGUCCACGCCGUAAACGAUGAAUGCUAGACGUUGGCGAGCAUGCUCGUCAGUGUCNGAGCUAACGCAUUAAGCAUUCCGCCU